CACCCUGCCUGUGGGGCGAUGCCACUGCUGUCGCCAGCCUCUCCAGUCUCUCUGGCUCCACGGUUCUGUACGCUUCGCUCUCCUUGACUGCUCUGGUUUGGCGUUGCCCGCGCGUUCAUGGCUCCUUAAGUUUGCCAUGUGCUGUGACCCGCUCCCGACCUCCAGCCAUGAUACAAACUACCGGAUUGUUAGUAAUCCCUAAUUACCCAGAAUACCCCUCAUCACUCAGUCCACCGCUUCUGAUGUCCGCCUAAUCAAUUUGGACAACCCCAAGAUAUUCCCUGGGAUACGCAGGGUACAGCAAAUUAGGAAGCAGGACUGGUGCCCCAUUUAAAACUCCAAGGGGAGGAGUGGAGGGAAAUAUUGUUGCAUGGUGAUGCCACUGGACAAGUCCCCACCCACCCCCCAAAAGGAUUUCAGAAAGAAACUACUGACAUGAAAAAGGAAGGUGUGGAUGAGAAGGACAUGACAACGAACAAACACGGUGUGCUGGAGUCAGAGCAGAUCCCCACCAGCUGCAACCUGUUCCAUAAUCAAGACCUCUACAAAUACUCAUUCCUGCCACUUCCACUCUGCCAGAUCGUAAUCUCUGCUCAUUCUGCCUGCUCUGACUCUGGUUCCUGUCUCCAGUCUGACUUCUCGUCAGUCCUGCUACUCUGUCCUGGAUUCCCAACUCUACGCUCCCUUGGAUUCCCCUCCGGACCUGCUUACCCUGUCCCACCACCUCUCGUUCCAGCCUCAGCCUCUGCACCUGGUUUCCGGCAACCCGCCCGAGCUUCCCCUGACCUGCACCCAAUCUUCCCCCCGUGUUUCAAUAAAU
rnacentral:lncRNA from 1 species